rnacentral:rRNA from 1 species
UACGUAGGGUGCAAGCGUUAAUCGGAAUUACUGGGCGUAAAGCGUGCGCAGGCGGCUUUGCAAGACAGAUGUGAAAUCCCCGGGCUCAACCUGGGAACUGCAUUUGUGACUGCAUGGCUGGAGUGCGGCAGAGGGGGAUGGAAUUCCGCGUGUAGCAGUGAAAUGCGUAGAUAUGCGGAGGAACACCGAUGGCGAAGGCAAUCCCCUGGGCCUGCACUGACGCUCAUGCACGAAAGCGUGGG